rnacentral:tRNA from 1 species
CUCGUCAGCGUGGUCGGGGAGUUCAACAUGAGUACCUUCUUGGCAUUCAAGCUGAGCGCCUAACAAAUUCUGGA